AUUGAACGCUGGCGGCAGGCCUAACACAUGCAAGUCGAGCGAGCGGCGGACGGGUGAGUAAUGUCUGGGAAACUGCCUGAUGGAGGGGGAUAACUACUGGAAACGGUAGCUAAUACCGCCCAUCCUCAGAUGGGUCCAGAUGGGAUUGGAUAGUAGGUGGGUUAACGGCUAGACUAGGCGACGAUCCCUAGCUGGGCUGAGAGGAUGACCAGCCACACGGGAACUGAGACACGGUCCAGACUCCUACGUGAGGCAGCAGGGGGGAAUAUUGCACAAUGGGCGAAAGCCUGAUGCAGCAAUGCCGCGUGUGUGAAGAAGGCCUUCGGGGUGUAAAGCACUUUCAGCGGGGAGGCGUUACCCGCAGAAGAAGCACCGGCUAACUCCGUGCCAGCAGCCGCGGUAAUAC
rnacentral:rRNA from 1 species